GACCGAACCGACUAAUGUUGAAAAAUUAGCGGAUGACCUGUGGCUGGGGGUGAAAGGCCAAUCAAACCGGGAGAUAGCUGGUUCUCCCCGAAAGCUAUUUAGGUAGCGCCUCGUGAAUUCAUCUCCGGGGGUAGAGCACUGUUUCGGCUAGGGGGCCAUCCCGGCUUACCAACCCGAUGCAAACUGCGAAUACCGGAGAAUGUUAUCACGGGAGACACACGGCGGGUGCUAAUGUCCGUCGUGAAGAGGGAAACAACCCAGACCGCCAGCUAAGGUCCCAAAGUCAUGGUUAAGUGGGAAACGAUGUGGGAAGGCCCAGACAGCCAGGAUGUUGGCUUAGAAGCAGCCAUCAUUUAAAGAAAGCGUAAUAGCUCACUGGUCGAGUCGGCCUGCGCGGAAGAUGUAACGGGGCUAAACCAUGCACCGAAGCUGCGGCAGCGACACCGUGUGUUGUUGGGUAGGGGAGCGUUCUGUAAGCCUGUGAAGGUGUGCUGUGAGGCAUGCUGGAGGUAUCAGAAGUGCGAAUGCUGACAUAAGUAACGAUAAAGCGGGUGAAAAGCCCGCUCGCCGGAAGACCAAGGGUUCCUGUCCAACGUUAAUCGGGGCAGGGUGAGUCGACCCCUAAGGCGAGGCCGAAAGGCGUAGUCGAUGGGAAACGGGUUAAUAUUCCCGUACUUGGUGUUACUGCGAAGGGGGGACGGAGAAGGCUAUGUUGGCCGGGCGACGGUUGUCCCGGUUUAAGCGUGUAGGUAUGUGUUCCAGGUAAAUCCGGUUCACUUUAACACUGAGGCGUGACGACGAGGCACUACGGUGCUGAAGCAACAAAUGCCCUGCUUCCAGGAAAAGCCUCUAAGCAUCAGGUAACAUCAAAUCGUACCCCAAACCGACACAGGUGGUCAGGUAGAGAAUACCAAGGCGCUUGAGAGAACUCGGGUGAAGGAACUAGGCAAAAUGGUGCCGUAACUUCGGGAGAAGGCACGCUGACACGUAGGUGAAGUGAUUUACUCACGGAGCUGAAGUCAGCCGAAGAUACCAGCUGGCUGCAACUGUUUAUUAAAAACACAGCACUGUGCAAACACGAAAGUGGACGUAUACGGUGUGACGCCUGCCCGGUGCCGGAAGGUUAAUUGAUGGGGUCAGCGCAAGCGAAGCUCCUGAUCGAAGCCCCGGUAAACGGCGGCCGUAACUAUAACGGUCCUAAGGUAGCGAAAUUCCUUGUCGGGUAAGUUCCGACCUGCACGAAUGGCGUAAUGAUGGCCAGGCUGUCUCCACCCGAGACUCAGUGAAAUUGAACUCGCUGUGAAGAUGCAGUGUACCCGCGGCAAGACGGAAAGACCCCGUGAACCUUUACUAUAGCUUGACACUGAACAUUGAGCCUUGAUGUGUAGGAUAGGUGGGAGGCUUUGAAGUGUGGACGCCAGUCUGCAUGGAGCCGACCUUGAAAUACCACCCUUUAAUGUUUGAUGUUCUAACGUGGACCCGUGAUCCGGGUUGCGGACAGUGUCUGGUGGGUAGUUUGACUGGGGCGGUCUCCUCCUAAAGAGUAACGGAGGAGCACGAAGGUUGGCUAAUCCUGGUCGGACAUCAGGAGGUUAGUGCAAUGGCAUAAGCCAGCUUGACUGCGAGCGUGACGGCGCGAGCAGGUGCGAAAGCAGGUCAUAGUGAUCCGGUGGUUCUGAAUGGAAGGGCCAUCGCUCAACGGAUAAAAGGUACUCCGGGGAUAACAGGCUGAUACCGCCCAAGAGUUCAUAUCGACGGCGGUGUUUGGCACCUCGAUGUCGGCUCAUCAC
rnacentral:rRNA from 1 species